rnacentral:rRNA from 1 species
UACGUAGGGCGCAAGCGUUAUCCGGAAUUAUUGGGCGUAAAGAGCUCGUAGGCGGUUUGUCGCGUCUGCCGUGAAAGUCCGGGGCUCAACUCCGGAUCUGCGGUGGGUACGGGCAGACUAGAGUGAUGUAGGGGAGACUGGAAUUCCUGGUGUAGCGGUGAAAUGCGCAGAUAUCAGGAGGAACACCGGUAGUGGCGAAGGCGGGUCUCUGGGCCGAUACUGACGCUGAGGAGCGAAAGCGUGGGGAGCGAACAGG